rnacentral:misc_RNA from 1 species
GUUGGUGAACCAGCGGAGGGAUCAUUACAGAGUUUUCACAACUCCCAACCCUUGCGAACCGUACCCAUUCUGUUCUCGUUGCUUCCGGCGCGGGGGGACGGGGGGGCCUCCGGGCUCUCCCCGUCCCGCCCGCCGGGGGCGGCGGGCCCUACGAACCUUUAUAUCUCAACCACUGGAAACUGUCUGAGCAAACAAACAAAAUAAUCAAAACUUUCAACAACGGAUCUCUUGGCUCUG